GAUGAAGAAUGUAGCGAAAUGCGAUACGUAAUGUGAAUUGCAAAUUCAGUGAAUCAUCGAGUCUUUGAACGCACAUUGCGCCCCCUGGUAUUCCGGGGGGCAUGCCUGUCCGAGCGUCAUUGCUGCCCUCAAGCACGGCUUGUGUGUUGGGCCCCGUCCUCCGAUCCCGGGGGACGGGCCCGAAAGGCAGCGGCGGCACCGCGUCCGGUCCUCGAGCGUAUGGGGCUUUGUCACCCGCUCUGUAGGCCCGGCCGGCGCUUGCCGAUCAACCCAAAUUUUUAUCCAGGUUGACCUCGGAUCAGGUAGGGAUACCCGCUGAACUUAAGCAUAUCAAUAAGCGGAGGA
rnacentral:misc_RNA from 1 species